AGAGUUUGAUCAUGGCUCAGAACGUACGCUGGCGGCACGCCUAACACAUGCAAGUCGAACGAAGUAGCAAUACUUAGUGGCAGACGGGUGAGUAACAUGUAGGUAUCUGCCCUUUGGCCUGGAAUAACACGAGGAAACUUGUGCUAAUACCGGAUAAGUCUUUACGGAGAAAGCUUUAUGCACCAUUGGAUGAGCCUGCACUUGAUUAGUUUGUUGGUGGGGUAAUGGCCUACCAAGACUGUGAUCAAUAGCUGAUUUGAGAGGAUGAUCAGCCACAUUGGGACUGAGACACGGCCCAAACUCCUACGGGAGGCAGCAGUGGGGAAUCUUGCACAAUGGAGGAAACUCUGAUGCAGCGAUGCCGCGUGAGUGAAGAAGGCCCUUGGGUUGUAAAGCUCUUUCGUCGGGGAAGAAAAUGACUGUACCCGAAUAAGAAGGUCCGGCUAACUUCGUGCCAGCAGCCGCGGUAAUACGAAGGGACCUAGCGUAGUUCGGAAUUACUGGGCUUAAAGAGUUCGUAGGUGGUUGAAAAAGUUAGUGGUGAAAUCCCAGAGCUUAACUCUGGAACUGCCAUUAAAACUUUUCAGCUAGAGUAUGAUAGAGGAAAGCAGAAUUUCUAGUGUAGAGGUGAAAUUCGUAGAUAUUAGAAAGAAUACCAAUUGCGAAGGCAGCUUUCUGGAUCAUUACUGACACUGAGGAACGAAAGCAUGGGUAGCGAAGAGGAUUAGAUACCCUCGUAGUCCAUGCCGUAAACGAUGUGUGUUAGACGUUGGAAAUUUAUUUUUCAGUGUCGCAGCGAAAGCGAUAAACACACCGCCUGGGGAGUACGACCGCAAGGUUAAAACUCAAAUGAAUUGACGGGGACCCGCACAAGUAGUGGAGCAUGUGGUUUAAUUCGAAGAUACGCGCAGAACCUUACCAACACUUGACAUGUUCGUCGCGACUCUAAGAGAUUAGAGUUUUCGGUUCGGCCGGACGAAACACAGGUGCUGCAUGGCUGUCGUCAGCUCGUGUCGUGAGAUGUUGGGUUAAGUCCCGCAACGAGCGCAACCCUCACUUUUAGUUGCCAUCAUUAAGUUGGGCACUCUGAAAGAACUGCCAGUGAUAAGCUGGAGGAAGGUGGGGAUGACGUCAAGUCCUCAUGGCCCUUACGUGUUGGGCUACACACGUGCUACAAUGGUAUCUACAACAGGAAGCAAGACUGCGAAGUUAAGCAAAUCCCUAAAAGAUACCUCAGUUCGGAUUGCACUCUGCAACUCGAGUGCAUGAAGCUGGAAUUACUAGUAAUCGUGGAUCAGCGUGCCACGGUGAAUGCGUUCCCGGGUCUUGUACACACCGCCCGUCACACCAUGGGAGUUGGUUCUACCUUAAGGCAAGGUUUUAAACCCUUGACCACGGUAUAGUCAGCGACUGGGGUGAAGUCGUAACAAGGUA
rnacentral:rRNA from 1 species